AUUGUCAGAACUCAGUAUCUGAUAAGUGCAGUCUGCCUUAUAAGAAAACCAAAAUUUCUUGAUUUAUCUCCUGAGAUUAUUAUCUCUUUCUCUGAUUUUCUGACUUCCCAUCUGUAAAGUGUCUGUAAGCAAUCCCUACCUCACAGGGGUGUUGUGAGGAUUUGUAUUAAAACUGUGUUAAGUUCUAUCAGUAUUACUGGUAAAAACCAACCAUAUAAAGAAAACUACAUUCUACAUGUUUUCUGCAGCUAAACCUAUUAACUUUAAUAUUCCAACUCAUAAAUUCUAGAAUGUCUUAAAAGCAGUCAUGUACUACUUAAUACUCAAUAAUUAAUUGGCAGAAUUCUUAUUUUUUUGGCAGAAUUCUUUUUUUUUUUUUUUUACAAAUACUCUAGAAACAGCAGUGUUGCUAGAAUUCCUAUUCUACUUACCAUAGUUUAACCAUCAGUAUUUCUCUUCAGCCUUUAACAAGGAGGAUAUUAAUUCUUUGGUGUUAUUGGGAAUGAAACUUUGCCAAGUGCAACUUUAUUUAAAGUUCCCCCAAACAUAUUAUUUACAUAUAGGAAAAGGAACAAAAGCAAUGGAGAAAAUACCAUUUUCAUUUCUCUGAUGUAGGUCAUCUAAAAAGUAGAUGGAGACCAGAAAUGGAGCAGGGCAAAUAACCGAGCAAUUCAUUAUGUUUUGUCAAAAUAGUAAGGCUUCACUUAAAACUGAAGGAAAUACAUAUUAAUCAUGGAAGAAGACAGUCUGGAAAAUGUAUAAUUCCACUGAUGUUUAUUUGCACAGGCAAAUUCUUGAUGUUGUAACUCAGAUCCUUGAGAAGUAUCCGUUUUUUUGUAGUAAUUGAGGUAAAAAUAGGCGAUGUGAAGAAUUUUCAUAAUGUAACUUGUAUCUUUGUAUGUUUUAAACUAAAUGUAGCUCUAUGGUAUUUUAUUAUAAUUAAUUUUUGAAUUCCUAAGAAUGAAAUCUGUACAUUUUUAUUCUUUGCUGUACUUCUGUGUUUGUAUGGUUGGACUUUUUUGAAAACUGGUGAGAUUAUACAGUCCUAUGCCUGGCUGUCUUAAACAUAAGGAAUUACAAACUGUGAUUUUUGUCUUCAAGACCUGGAAUAAUCCUUUGUGCUUCAGUGUAUAUCUGUGCCACACUUGAUUAAUUAGUAGAUAUUGCUCCAAUGCAAUUGAUGUUAACUGUCAUCAACUCUUCUAUUUUGUGCCAAAUAAAGUCAUUUAAUCAGAUUAAAUAACAUAUCAACUUAAAAUACUUUCAAAGAAACUUGGAUUUCAAAAACCUGUACCAAAACAAAAAGGCAAAAGGGAAUUCCCUGGCGGUACAGUGGUUAGGAGUCUGCACUUUCACUGCCGAAGGCCUGGGUUUGAUCUCUGGUCGGGGAAUUAAGAUCCCACAAGCUGCACAGCACGGCC
rnacentral:lncRNA from 1 species